rnacentral:rRNA from 1 species
UACGUAGGGGGCAAGCGUCGUCCGGAAUCAUUGGGCGUAAAGAGCGCGUAGGCGGUCCGGUAAGUCCGCUCUGAAAGUCCGGGGCUCAACCCCGGGAGGCGGGCGGAUACUGUCGGGCUAGAGUCCGGAAGAGGCGAGUGGAAUUCCUGGUGUAGCGGUGAAAUGCGCAGAUAUCAGGAGGAACACCAAUAGCGAAGGCAGCUCGCUGGGACGGUACUGACGCUAAGGCGCGAAAGCGUGGGGAGCGAACAGG